GCACUGCUGACGAGUCCCAAAGAGGACGAAACAGCUGUCAAGUGC
rnacentral:hammerhead_ribozyme from 1 species